rnacentral:rRNA from 1 species
GUGGGGAAUAUUGGACAAUGGGCGAAAGCCUGAUCCAGCCAUGCCGCGUGUGUGAAGAAGGUCUUCGGAUUGUAAAGCACUUUAAGUUGGGAGGAAGGGCAGUAAGUUAAUACCUUGCUGUUUUGACGUUACCGACAGAAUAAGCACCGGCUAACUUCGUGCCAGCAGCCGCGGUAAUACGAAGGGUGCAAGCGUUAAUCGGAAUUACUGGGCGUAAAGCGCGCGUAGGUGGUUUUGUAAGUUGGAGGUGAAAUCCCCGGGCUCAACCUGGGAACUGCCUCCAAAACUGGAUGACUAGAGUACGGUAGAGGGUAGUGGAAUUUCCUGUGUAGCGGUGAAAUGCGUAGAUAUAGGAAGGAACACCAGUGGCGAAGGCGACUACCUGGACUGAUACUGACACUGAGGUGCGAAAGCGUGGGGAGCAAACAGGAUUAGAUACCCGUGUAGUCC